rnacentral:rRNA from 1 species
UACGAAGGGGGCUAGCGUUGCUCGGAAUUACUGGGCGUAAAGGGAGCGUAGGCGGACUGUUAAGUUAGAGGUGAAAGCCCAGGGCUCAACCUUGGAAUUGCCUUUGAUACUGGCGAGCUUGAGUCCGGGAGAGGUGAGUGGAACUGCGAGUGUAGAGGUGAAAUUCGUAGAUAUUCGCAAGAACACCAGUGGCGAAGGCGGCUCACUGGCCCGGUACUGACGCUGAGGUGCGAAAGCGUGGGGAGCAAACAGG